GGACAGGGCAGAAGGAGAGUCGAGGCGCACGGAAGAGGAGGCCGAGAUGAGAGCGAUUCGGCCGUGAGCCCAGGAGCACCACGGCCACCGGCAGCUGGACACAGCCAGCUUCCUGCGGAGGCCCCAGAGGGAGCGUGGCCCUGCUGACACCUUGACUGCUGUGACCCUGACCUUGGGCUCUUGCCCCAGCACGGGGGGGGUGGGGUGGGGAGCAAGUUUUAGCUGCUGGAAGUUGCCCAGGCUGUGGCAGUUGCUACAGCAGCCUCAGGACACUAACUCCACCCUCCGCCCCUCUCCCACUCACCUGGAAAAGCCCCCAGCGGGCAGAGCACUGGGCCAGCUCCGGCAGCCCAGUGAGGCCAGCACUGUACCCCUGCUCACAGGCAGGGCGACUGGCUCAGCGCCAGAUGAACAACACAAUCGCUCCCCUGCGGAGGGUCUGCAGGCAGCACGCGGACGGGAGCUGUGAAAUCCUCCACGUGGCUGGCACGCAGAAACACGACUCACACACUGGAAAGCCCCAGUGCCACACCCACUCACUCCACACAAGACAGCGCGGGGGCAAUGCUGCAGCAUGGACACAGAGCGGUGCCGGCCUCUGCCUCUCCCACAUGGUGGCCCCCGGGGAGACCAAGCCCAGAUCCCAGUACGACGUGGGCUCUUGACCUGCUCCUCACUUCCACCUGCCAAGGAGCCUGUGGGCGAAGACGGCCG